AAACAAAAUCUUGAUUAUUUAAUCUAAUCUAUAUUAAUUAAUUAUUAAGAAACAUCCAUUAAUAUUGUAAAGGUGAUUGAAAUUUUAUAUUUAUUAAUCAUAAAAGUACUGUGAAGGAAUAUAAUAAUUUGAAAAAAAGUAGUGUAAAUACACGUACCUUUUGUAUCAUGGUUUAGCUAGAUUUAACUUUAAUAUAUAAAAUUCUCGAAAUCUAAUGAGCUACUUUUAUCAGUUAAUUUUAGUUUAUAAAGAGUAGUUGUGGCAAAACCUUUCUUAUAGGUAAAAGUAGAGAUGAAAUUUCAUACGCAUUAGAUGAUAGCUAGUUUUCUUUUAAAGAUAUAGAAGUAUCUAAGCUUAUAAUAUAUAAUUAAAUAUUUUUAAUUAUAAUAGAUAAAGCUUAAAAGAUUUUCAAGGAUAAGCUUGAAAAUAUAUAGACUUAUAAAAUAUUUAAAUAUUCUUAAAAUUUAGGCUUGAAACUAGCCAGAAUUUUAAAAUUUGUUAUAAUUUAUUAAAGAAUAAAAUAAAAAUAAAUAUAUGUAAAAAUAAAAGAAAAUUAUUAUAAAUUAAAUUAAUAAAAAUUAAUGCUAAGAUGAGUAUUUUUAAAAUAUUAUACUUUAAUUUUAUAAAUUAUUAAAGAUUUUCAAAUUUAAAUUUGAAAAUCAAUUUCUAUGAAGGAACUCGGCAAAUAAUAUUGUUCUGCCUGUUUAUCAAAAACAUGGCUCUUUGAUUAAGAAUAAUAAGGAGUCGGACCUGCCCAGUGAUUUUAUUUAACGGCCGCGGUACCCUGACCGUGCAAAGGUAGCAUAAUCAUUUGCCCUAUAAUUGAGGGCUAGUAUGAAUGGUUUGACAAGAGCAAUACUGUCUCCAUAGAAGUUGAUAGAAAUUAUUUUUUAGGUGAAGAAUCCUAAAUAAAAUUAAAAGACAAGAAGACCCUAUCGAGCUUUAAAUUUAUUAAUAAGAUAAAGAGAAUUAAAAAUAUUUCUAAUUAUAAAAAAUUUUAGUUGGGGCGACUAAGGAACAAAAAAAGCUUCUUUAUGAAUUUAAGAUUUAUAAUUGAUGAUCCACUACUUAUAGUGAUUAAAAGAAUUAGUUACCGUAGGGAUAACAGCAUAAUCCUUUUUGAGAGCUCAUAUCGAAAAAAGGGUUUGUGACCUCGAUGUUGGACUAGAAUUUCCUGAUAGAUGCAGAAGUCUUCGAGGGUUGGUCUGUUCGACCAUUAAAAUUCUACAUGAUCUGAGUUCAGACCGGCGUGAGCCAGGUCAGUUUCUAUCUUUAAUUUCAAUUUUAAAUUUAGUACGAAAGGACCAAUUUAAAGUAACAUAAUUUACAUAAUAUAGAUGAACUAUAAUAACGAAAUCAAUAAUUGAAUAUGUUUA
rnacentral:rRNA from 1 species